CCUACGGGAGGCAGCAGUGGGGAAUAUUGCGCAAUGGGCGCAAGCCUGACCCAGCAACGCCGCGUGAAGGAAGAAGUCUUUCGGGUUGUAAACUUCUUUUGUCAGGGAAGAAUAGAAGACUGUACCUGACGAAUGCGCCACGUCUAACUACGUGCCAGCAGCCGCGGUAAUACGUAGGUGGCAAGCGUUGUCCGGAUUUACUGGGUGUAAAGGGCGUGUAGCCGGGUUGACAAGUCUGAUGUGAAAUCCUGCGGCUUAACCGCAGAACUGCAUUUGAAACUGUUGAUCUUGAGUACUGGAGAGGUAGACGGAAUUCCUAGUGUAGCGGUGAAAUGCGUAGAUAUUAGGAGGAACACCAGUGGCGAAGGCGGUUUGCUGGACAGCAACUGACGGUGAGGCGCGAAAGCGUGGGGAGCAAACAGGAUUAGAUACCCUUGUAGUC
rnacentral:rRNA from 1 species